CUAAGCAAUGUACUGUGCCACUAAGUCUGAUAUAGCUUAUUCUGUCUUGUCAUGUUUCGUUUCACCCCUGAUAAUUAUCUUAGUCAUCAAGAAUGCUGUCAUUUUCUUCUUGAUUAAUUUUCAAACCUAUCUGUGUGUCUCAUUUGUUUUUACUUUUUCCUUGAUUCUUUGCAGCAUUUGUAGGAGACAGUACUUCAAAAUGUGAUGUAAAAGAUCUUGGACAGCAGCUAGUAAUUAGACAUUUAAAAGGCUAAUAUUUUUCAUUGUUGUCUUUUAUAAAGAUUUUAUUUUCUUUAAAAUAUUUUCUACAGUUUAGUAAAUGAAAUAAUGGAGAUGAUCCACAGAGACAGGCCACUUUAUUUUUUGCUUUAGAUUAGCUUUAUUAAAACCUACAAAGAAAAACAAUAGUAAGGUCUCUUGCAUAUACCCUGGAGUAAGAUUUUUUUCCUCCUGGGGUGUUCCAGCUAGAACAAAAAUGGCAGCAGUACUGUGCAGUCAGCAAGUUUGUGGAAAUGCAAAAGCUCAAAAACCAUGUCCUGAAAAGAAGACAGUCAUAGCUUUACCACUGUCACCACAAAACACUUCCUAAUUUGUAGCUUGACUUUGCCUUUGCCUUGCUUCCCAUAGAGUCAUUCAGCAAUUCAUGCCCACUCUGCUUUUGUUUUAUCCAGGUGGAAAUGACUACAUAAACUGUAAAAAAGUGAAGAACUAGAUUGCAUGUGUGCACAUAUACAAAAGGGAACAGCCAAGAGCCCGUCCAGAUGCCACACUCCAACCAAAGGAUCGUGAUGACAGCCCAUGAUCUCCUUCCUUCAUACAGCAUCUUCAGAAAGGAAAAGAAGUCCAUAUCCACCUGCAGGGAGCAGGAAGAGGCUUGCUGUGUGUCACAGAGAAGUCAGAGCAGAAGGAAGAAUAGCAAGAACUUCUGAGUCCAAGCCUCACCCUAGAUACUUAUACUUUUCAGAUGUAUUUGCAUAGUGAGGUACAACAUGCUAAUAUUCAUAUCUUUAAAAAGGACCUUCCUGUUUUAUUUCACUUUUUUUUUUUUUUUCUCUAGUUAGAAUCAUAGAAUCA